rnacentral:lncRNA from 13 species
GUGCUGGGGGACCAUAGAAUUAAUUCAUUCUAUUUCUAUGUGGGAGACAGCUACAAUGCAGACAAUUAAGUGACAAUAGGAUAACAACAGCCUAACAAUUGAGAAUAUGCUGAAUGGUCACAAAAACUAAAGGAAGUGAAAACAGCGCAAUCAAAAUCAGAGGAUUCAGAACAGGAGAUAGAAGAUAAUAUUAGCCCUGUACAAACAGGUCAUGGAGAGACUACGGGCAGUGUAUUUAGAUUUAUCACAUUUGACUUGCCUUGGCUUGUGAGAUUGAAAAAUAGCCUCUCAGAGCAUUUGAGAAAAUGUUAAGUGUUGAGCUUUCUGUUAUUAAGGUUGUAUAAUGUUUGUAUGAUAGUUAAGAUGUCUGUUAUGCUGCUUUUCCAGAGUACUCCUCAGAUAACCCACAACAUCCUCUGUGGAAUCGUAGGACAAGAGGGAGACACCAACCCCUCCAAGACCUGUUGAGUUCCCUAAAGUCACAACAGGUCUACAAGAUGGCUGGCUCACUGUCUGAGAUAAUCAGGGGUAUACAAGAUGGCCGACUCACUGAGAGAGAGUCAGGGGUCUACAAGAUGGGCGACUCACUGUCAGAGUGACAGACCGACAACAACAACUGCUCUAUGACCUCUGCUCUCCCACAGAAGUGCAGAUGAAUACAAUACCAUUCACCAUCUUUGUACAACCGCAGUCAGCCAGGCCCUGCCUCUGGAGCUGACUUCCCUGGUCUGUCACACCUCCAGCCAACUCACUGCACCACCACUGUUUCACCAACAGAGGGUAGCACUACAACACAUUGCUACCCAGCCUGACAGACACAGGCAAUCCGGAAUGACAAGGGAGGAUCUGCAGGACCUGAAGGAAUCAGCCUGUGACCUGACAGAGAUGGAGCCAACCAACUCAUUGUGCUCAACAAUGACAGCCAUGAGAACCUGA